UACGUAGGGUGCAAGCGUUGUCCGGAAUUAUUGGGCGUAAAGAGCUCGUAGGCGGUUUGUCGCGUCUGCUGUGAAAACUCAGGGCUUAACCCUGAGCCUGCUUCCGAUACGGGCAGACUAGAGGUAUGCAGGGGAGAACGGAAUUCCUGGUGUAGCGGUGAAAUGCGCAGAUAUCAGGAGGAACACCGGUGGCGAAGGCGGUUCUCUGGGCAUUACCUGACGCUGAGGAGCGAAAGUGUGGGGAGCGAACAGG
rnacentral:rRNA from 1 species